AGCGCUGAGGCAGGACAGGCUGUAGCUGACCCUCUGUGGGAGCUGGGGACGUGGGGGGGCGUGGACGAUGAGGACGACAGCGACAGAGUAAUGUCAGGAGCAUCUGGAAGGCAGAGCUCACAGUCGGCUGCUCGUGACUCAGAAGAUAGCCAGCAGAUGAGGAUCCCGGAAGACGGGGUGCCAUCGCCCCUCUUCUCAAGCAGCCCCCAGAGAGGUUGAACCCAGAAGGUACUCCACCAGUCCCACAGGACAGAGUCUCCUCCUGGCACCAGCAUCCAUUCCGCUCCACACUAUGUAGACUGUACCUCGGUUUGUUUAAAGUCAGCUGUCAGGGCUGGAGAGAACACAGCUGCAGGAGACCCAGGUUCAACUCCCAGGACCCACAUGGCAUCUCAGAACCAUCUUUAACUCCCGUUCCAGGGGAUCCUGCACAUACGUGGUGCAUAGACAGGCGUGCCGGCAAAACAUUCAUACGCAGGACUAUGGAAAGUGAAGUGAGCCAAAGCUGCAUGCAGAACCUGGAAGUCACCGAAUUCGGCUGUGGUGUCUGUGCCAGAUGGGAGACACCCAACAGGCCAUGUUCAGAGUCAGAGCUGAAACAGGGAUGGAGAAGAGGCCUCCCAUCCGCUGUGCAAUCUCUGUCUCUCUAAGCCACACCCUGGGCCCACAGCUUACUUCCUAAGGCUGACUCCUUAAGGCCAACAUGCGCUUCUUAAAGCAACAGUGCCUGUAUUACAGCUGAUGAGGGAGACACACCUUUGCUUGCCUGUUACCCUCUCCCCGCAUCUCCAGCUCCAAGGUCUCUCUGUGUAGCCUUGGCUGUCCUGGAACUCACUCCCGAUGCUGACUCGCCUGACGCUGAGCACACAUAAAUCUUGCCUCUGCUUCCCUUGUUCCUUUCUUUAAGGAGAAAACUGUGUCUCUUGGCUCUCCCCAGGCCUGAGGCUGCAGAGUGCGGACAGGAGGGAAACAGGAGCAGAACAGAGAAGACAGGGUGCAGGUGCCGGCUUGGGGGUGUGGGGUACAGAGGAGAGUUACUGGAGAACCGGGGGUCGCGGUCUGGAUGAGGGUUCAUGUGACCACCCUACUGAGAGGGCCCGAGGAAGGAGAGCUCUCUGCUCUGUUCUUGGGGUCACUUGUCCACCUUAAAAAAAGGUCAACGUGAUGAAGAAAGCCACAUCGGCAGGGACCUGGGUGGCCAAGACAGGUCACAGACACGGUGACAUACAGAAAGAGAAACGCAGUCUCUCCUUGCUUCUGAAUCGCUCGGCCCUGUUCUUGUGACUGCCCCCCCCCCCCACCUCAUGUAUCCUUGAUGAACAGGAAGUGGUGUCCUUGCCUCUUUCCUGGUACCUGUCAGACACACUGAGCCCCGGCCCCUGCAGGAUCAUGGCUUGCUGUGCACCCCCCCACCCCCAAGCCCCUGGCUAACUCCGGACUCCUGUGGCCCUCCCCUAAGAUCAUCUCAGAGGGAUCUUUGUCGUCCCCAUAAGCUCUUCACCGCCUGCCCUGCUAGAGUUUCUCUGUUCACAUGCUUUGCCCAUCCAAUGACUGUAUGCGCGCAGACCUUGUCUGUCCGUCCUCAUACUCUUCUGGCAUUUUCCAUAGCGGUUUCUCGGUGCUGAGGGGAAGGCCUGGCUAAGCUGAGGCUCGAAACAUCGUAGUGGAUAAAGAAUGAAUGGACGGACGAAUGAGUGAAAGCAGAUAAGAGACUCGAAAGCGUCCGGUUGCUAGCAGCUGGGUUAUCAGGCCAGGCACCCUCCAUGAGCACCAUUGGCACUGGGCUUCCUUGGCACAAUGUGAUGUCAGAGUCAGCUGGUCACCUGCCCUGGCUUGGUUAAGGACCAAGGAUGAUCGUAGCAAACUGUCCCACAGUGUGCUAGGUCAUCCUCCAAACAUCCUGAGUGAGCCAACUAGUGAAUGACCUGGGUGUGGCAGACUCUGGAGCCUUCCGGAAGACCAGGCCUUAAGCAAACGAUGGCUGCGGGGAUGCCAGGCGCACAGCCCUGCUCUGCUGAGUGUCCCGAGUGCUUUCCCACGUGGUUACGGGGUAGGUCAGGGGAGUGUCUCAGUCACGUGUCUGCCUGCUGUAGAAGGCAGCUGGCUCGGAAGACAGCAUGUUGUGGUGCUUUUGUUUAUAACGAAAGAGCCCAGCAGUGGCUGGGGCAGAUGUGGGCUUGGCUCUGGGCAAUCCCUUCUCACCUGGGCAUGACGAUAUCCCACAGAUCCCCGGGCAAAGACUGGCACCGUAAGUGGCUUACAGAUAUCCCACACCAAGGACUCAGAGCCUUGACUGCUGUGAGGCACCUCGGGCUGGAGAUGCCACCUCUGCUGAUACAGGCUGGCAUGGCACAGACCUCAGUCAGGGCCAGCUGCUGGCCUGGAGAGGGUGUGAGCACGGAGAGGGUGUGAGCACGCCAUUGUCUCCCUACUCAUGUCUCUCCGCCUUUCUCCAUCUCGUGUCUGUCUCUUUGAGUUUCUUUCUGUGUCUGCCCCUCAUCCCCAUGUCUCUCUCUUGUCUCUCAUUCCUCUCUG